CAAAAGCACCGGUUCUCGUAUGAUCAUUGUAGUUAAGCAACGCUGAGCCUGGUUAGUACCUGGAUGGAUAAGGGCUUAGGAAUACCAGGUGCUGUAAG